UACGUAGGGGGCAAGCGUUGUCCGGAUUUAUUGGGCGUAAAGAGCGUGUAGGCGGCCUGACAGGUCUGCUGUGAAAACUCGAGGCUCAACCUCGAGAUGUCGGCGGAAACCGUCUGGCUAGAGUCCGGAAGAGGAGAGUGGAAUUCCUGGUGUAGCGGUGAAAUCGCAGAUAUCAGGAAGAACACCUAUGGCGAAGGCAGCUCUCUGGGACGGUACUGACGCUGAGACGCGAAAGCCAGGGGAGCAAACGGG
rnacentral:rRNA from 1 species